AGUUGUGGACAAGUAAGUAAGGCCAGAAGGCUCAAUAUUAAAUCGAGAAGACCUGAUAGUACUGUCUUCUGCAGUGCUAUUCUCUAAGCAAACAGCCUAGACAUCACGUCACCUGCCUUGACGCAACGGUGAAAUAUUGAAAUGGUAUUCACUAAUUCCUAAGACGCGACACUAGCGCCCAAAGACGAACGGCAUAAACGGAAACUACCCAAGCCUGUGCGAUUUGACAUUUUGUCAUAGUAUUUGGUCAACCUCGCCUUUGCCGAUCUUCACCUCUAUUUCUUAUGUCAAAGUCAAAAGCUGUUUUCUACGCUGUUUACAUAGUAUUUAACUAAUAUAUUUAUUUGUUUCUCGAAUUCUGUGAUAUUUAAUUGCAUUGAAAUUAUCAAUUUGUGUAUAAAAACGAUGGCUGCUUGUCUAUGUACCAUUUGUUGGAAGAAAUUAAAAAAGAUGAUUACAAAAAAUGACGAGGCAGUUGCGAAAUGCACGCACAGUUUUACGUGAUGUGGAAUAUAUUCGUCAUUACACUGUCUGAAGACCUAAUUAAUAUGUUAGAAAGUGAAUUGGCACCUUAUAUGCCUGUAUGCCGCCGUUCUGGAAGUUUAUCACUCAGGUUAAAGGUGACUCUAGAAUCCUUCUAAUAGUGAAAACCUUUGGACACUCAAUAAUAUCAAAACCCACUGAUUGCUGUGUUAUUUGUGAUAUGCAUAUUAAUCUAUACCUACCAUCUCGAAGAUCUAAGAAGCAGGAAAGAAAAUUCAGUAGUCUCAAGACAAUUGUGUUUUUUGUACUUUAUAUUAUAUACUUCCCAUUUUUAUUGUUACUUUUUUGCCUAAUCAUACAUUAAAUAUUAAUAAUAUGUAGUAAAAUGUACAUCUAUUUUAUAGUACAGCAAAUGAAAUUUAAACAAGCUUUUGCUUUUAUAAUUUUUGUAUGCACUAUGGAAUAUAUAUAAAUAUCAUUUAUAUAAACUUAUUUAUUUUUCAGUUUUAUAUUUAUAAUUGUUUCAUUGAAAUUGUGUACUUUUUAAUUGUUAAUAUUACACGAUAUAUUUAGGUUAUUAUGACUAAUGACUAGAUAAUAGGUUUAAUUAUGUUUAAUUACAUAAAUUAAUUUAUUUUUAAAUGACUUUAGUGCUGCGUCUGUAUUUAUACAAAUUUUAAUUGUAAAAUUUCCUUUUGUUUAAAAAAGCAACAAUUGAGUUUCUUGCCUGUCCUUCUCUGCUGAAAUUGCAUUCCGAAUGGGUGGUGGAAUCAUAAAUAGGAACUAUUCAAAAACAUUUGUAAUUAAGUUUACUUAAAACAAUAUUCUAAUUCUAAAUGAAUAAAUAAGUUGAAAUAAAAAUGCUUUACCAAAGA